CCUACGGGAGGCAGCAGUGGGGAAUAUUGGGCAAUGGGCGCAAGCCUGACCCAGCAACGCCGCGUGAAGGAAGACGGCUUUCGGGGUGUAAACUUCUUUUGACAGGGAAGAGUAGAAGACGGUACCUGUCGAAUAAGCCACGUCUAACUACGUGCCAGCAGCCGCGGUAAUACGUAGGUGGCAAGCGUUGUCCGGAUUUACUGGGUGUAAAGGGCGUGUAGCCGGGUUGACAAGUCAGAUGUGAAAGCCUGCGGCUUAACCGCAGAACUGCAUUUGAAACUGUUGAUCUUGAGUACUGGAGAGGCAGACGGAAUUCAUAGUGUAGCGGUGAAAUGCGUAGAUAUUAGGAGGAACACCAGUGGCGAAGGCGGGUUACUGGACUGUAACUGACGUUGAGGCUCGAAAGCGUGGGGAGCAAACAGGAUUAGAUACCCCAGUAGUC
rnacentral:rRNA from 1 species